CUACGGGUUGCACCAGUGGGGAAUCUUAGACAAUGGGCGCAAGCCUGAUCUAGCCAUGCCGCGUGAGUGACGAAGGCCUUAGGGUCGUAAAGCUCUCUCGCUGGGGAAGAUAAUGACGGUACCCAGUAAAGAAACCCCGGCUAACUCCGUGCCAGCAGCCGCGGUAAUACGGAGGGGGUGUAGCGUUGUUCGGAAUUACUGGGCGUAAAGCGCGCGUAGGCGGAUCAGAAAGUUGGGGGUGAAAUCCCGGGGCUCAACCCCGGAACUGCCUUCAAAACUCCUGGUCUUGAGUUCGAGAGAGGUGAGCGGAAUUCCGAGUGUAGAGGUGAAAUUCGUAGAUAUUCGGAGGAACACCAGUGGCGAAGGCGGCUCACUGGCUCGAUACUGACGCUGAGGUGCGAAAGCGUGGGGAGCAAACAGGAUUAGAUACCCUAGUAGUC
rnacentral:rRNA from 1 species